rnacentral:rRNA from 1 species
AAUCAACGCUGGCGGCGUGCCUCAGACAUGCAAGUCGAACGAUUAAGACUUCCUUCGGGAAGUGUAUAAAGUGGCGCACGGGUGAGUAACACGUAAGUAAUCUACCCUCGAGUGGGGAAUAACAUCGGGAAACCGAUGCUAAUACCGCAUAACGCAGCGGCACCGCAAGGUGACAGUUGUUAAAGGAGCAAUCCGCUUGAGGAGGAGCUUGCGGCAGAUUAGCUAGUUGGUGAGGUAAUGGCUCACCAAGGCGACGAUCUGUAUCCGGCCUGAGAGGGCGGUCGGACACACUGACACUGAAUAACGGGUCAGACUCCUACGGGAGGCAGCAGUCGGGAAUUUUGGGCAAUGGGCGAAAGCCUGACCCAGCAACGCCGCGUGAGGGAUGAAGUAUUUCGGUAUGUAAACCUCGAAAGAAUGGGAAGA